rnacentral:rRNA from 1 species
AACGAACGCUAGCGGUAUGCCUCAAACAUGCAAGUCGUACGCGAAAGUUUCUUCGGAAAUGAGUAGAGUGGCGCACGGGUGAGUAACACGUAGCUAACGUACCUUUUCGCUGUGGAUAACUCCUCGAAAGAGGAGCUAAUACAGAAUAGUCUGAAGGAAUCUGCGGAUUCUUUCGGUAAAGUCGCAAGACGCGAAGAGAUCGGGCUGCGCUCCAUUAGCUAGUUGGUAAGGUAACGGCUUACCAAGGCUACGAUGGAUAGCUGGUCUGAGAGGACGGCCAGCCACACUGGAACUGACACACGGUCCAGACUUCCACGGAAGGCAGCAGUUGGGAAUUUUGGACAAUGGGGGAAACCCUGAUCCAGCAAUACCGCGUGAGUGAUGAAGGCCUUCGGGUCGUAAAGCUCUUUUAGUUGGGAAAAAGGGCAACUUGAUGGUACCAACAGAAAAAGCACCGGCUAACUCUGUG